UGCUUGUUACAAUUAUUUGUCUAGUGCAGUGCUCCAGGAAGUGAGGUUACUACCCUGUAAUAUCUGAAAGGAAGGGCUGAGGAUAAGGAGUAUCCACUGUCUGGCUCUGACAGGUAGGCAUGCCGAGCUUCUGGGGUGCAUGAUGGUAUCCUUAAGACUGCUCAUUUUGCUGACUUUUUUCUUCCACCUUCUAUCCACGGGUCAGAGAGGCAGCAGCAUGCAGUUGCAGACUCUCUCUAGCACAAAAUGGAGCACACACUGAAAAGCUGUGGAGUAACAGCAUGAGACUGUGGGUAAAAUGGCUACUUCACUCCUCAGACUGAACCCACCUUGGGGCACUCAAGUAGGAAAUGAGAAGUUUUUUGUCUUUUUACUGUGGCAAAUAUCUGGUGAUAGUUUUUGGGGUGCUUUUUUUAAAAUAAAUUCCUCUUCAAGGUAUCCGAUUACUAAAGUUCAUUUCUCCUUUUAAGUCCCAUAUUGCAGGUAUUUUUUAGUAGUCAAGGAAAACGCUGUACUGUUCCUCCUCAAAGUCUCCUUAUGCCAUUCUUUGCUGAAGUGGAGAAAUGCUUCAGAGCCAUGUCACAUGCUUUCAGCUAGUCCACCUCCAGGUUCCCACCCAGCAAGACAGUGAAGCAGCAGCCAAAGACUCUCCUCACCCACUGCAGAGCCUCAGCUUACCUCUGCUCCUUUGGCAUAGCAGGAAGAAAACCUGGCUUUAAAAGAGGCAUUCAGAUAGGAAGCAGCAAUGUUCCAGGAGGAUUUCUGAGUCAAACAGGAGAGGAACUGGCUUCUCAAGGCUCACUGGAUGUCUCUGGGAUCAGAUAUGCUGAGCUAACAGAAGAACCAAAUUGGCUCAUGACCUGAAGGACAACAACGUGCUACGACGACGGCAGUGAGGGCGGGUGCAGCUGUUGAGGGGGAGCGAAGCCGAAGGGACACCGUUCAUUGUCUCGGAUCCGCUCGCAGGGAAGGCGCUGGCGGGCGGGGCCGCCACCAGAGGGCAGCUGGAGCCCGACGAUGAGCCAGGCCCUGGCCGCGGCUUUUGUUUCCGCCUAUGGCUCGGCCGCCGCCCCGGUCCAACGUCCAGGCCGGGAGGCGCCGGGGCUCCCACCGUGAGCCCAAAAGGUAAAGAAAAUAUCAAACAGGAGAGCACCGCAAUUAUCAAAU